rnacentral:lncRNA from 1 species
CCUGAGUCCACCGCGACUGCCUGCCCAGCGAAACCUGGAAGCUCGGCAUCCGUACGCCCUAGUGCUUGGCUCUUCAAGGAAGAUUGCCCCUCCAGUGCUGAGAGAGAUGUCUGUCCCGGGCAAAUCAUCAGGCAUAACUGAUGAAGAUAAUGAUGAUGCAUGGAACAUUCACUUGCCACCUAUAGCUUUGCCUUCCACAUCCAAAGGUUUGACUGAAAAACAGAAAAAACUAAUGAAAUAUCGAAGAGUCAAGGAACAGCAGAAGAUGCUCAAUAAGAUUGUAGUUACUGCNGCCACCAAAGACUAUACAUCAACUGCAGAAGACUUUUCUAAAAGAGAAAUCCAGCCUCCUAUUCCACAAUUGCCCUAUACUGUAAGUUUCUAAUAUUUAAAAUAUUUUUCCUGGAGGAU